ACAGCAUUUGUCUAGUGCGCUCAGUCCUG
rnacentral:piRNA from 1 species